GACCUCGGAUCAGGUAGGAAUACCCGCUGAACUUAAGCAUANA
rnacentral:rRNA from 1 species